GAUUUAGCCAUGCUAGUCGCACGAGUUCAGACUCGUGGCGAAUAGCUCAGUAACACGUGGCCAAACUACCCUUCGGAACACGAUACCCUCGGGAAACUGAGGCUAAUAGUGUAUACCACAUCACCACUGGAAUGAGUGAUGUGCCAAACGCUCCGGCGCCGAAGGAUGUGGCUGCGGCCGAUUAGGUAGACGGUGGGGUAACGGCCCACCGUGCCAAUAAUCGGUACGGGUCAUGAGAGUGAGAACCCGGAGACGGAAUCUGAGACAAGAUUCCGGGCCCUACGGGGCGCAGCAGGCGCGAAACCUUUACACUGCACGACAGUGCGAUAGGGGGAUCCCAAGUGCACAGGCAUAGCGCCUGUGCUUUUCGGUACCGUAAGGUGGUACCAGAAUAAGGGCUGGGCAAGACCGGUGCCAGCCGCCGCGGUAAUACCGGCAGCCCAAGUGAUGGCCGAUCUUAUUGGGCCUAAAGCGUCCGUAGCUGGCCGCGCAAGUCCAUCGGGAAAUCCACCUGCUCAACAGGUGGGCGCCCGGUAGAAACUGCGUGGCUUGGGACCGGAAGGCGCGACGGGUACGUCCGGGGUAGGAGUGAAAUCCCGUAAUCCUGGACGGACCGCC
rnacentral:rRNA from 1 species